rnacentral:lncRNA from 1 species
UCUCAAGAUAUGGCAUGCAAGGUGUUUCAAAUUGAGCAUGACUUCCAAAGUGUCUCAAAUUGAGCAUGGUUAUGGUCUUCUCGAGGCUUGAAGAAGAGGGUUUGGAAUUGAGCAUGGUUAUGGUUUUGUGGAAGCUUGGAUUGCUUGGACAACGAGUCUUAAAAUUUGGUGGCAUUUGGUUUCAUUUUUGUAGGUAAAUUAGGUUUAGAUUCAAAAUACAGAGAAAAAGCUUUUUAAAUGUAAAAAACAAAUGUAAAUUGAAUUACACCAAUUUUAAAUUUGCACUUUAUUAUUAUAAUGUAAUUUGAAAAUAUUUGAAAUGAAAAAUGAGAAUGUAUUGGUUUAUGAAUUCAAAUUU